rnacentral:rRNA from 1 species
GACAAACAGGUCGAGUUAAGAUUUGUUUAGUAAAAAAGGAGGUUAUGUUAGUUAGUUUAGUGGUUUUGAGAAUCUUCUGUUUUUAUAGGGGUGAAAUCUGUAUAUGAAUAGUUGGUCUUUUAUUCUCUUCUUCUGAAUCCUCGAAAGUUUAAUAUAAGACCGGGAUUAGAUACCCCGUUAUUUAUUCUGUAAACUUUAAUUUGUUUUGAUUUACUUGGGGAUUACGUGUUGCUAUUAGGUUUGUUUUGAUUACUAGUGAUAGGAAGCUUAAAACUCAAAAAACUUGGCGGUGCCUCAAUUCUUUCCGGGGGAACCUGUCCUGUAAUCGAUGGUCCACGAUUUAGCUUACCUUAUUUUGAAUGUAUAUAUGUAAAUAUAAUCACAGCUUGUAUACCGUCGUCGUCAGAUUACCCUUAAGGGAUAUAGAAGUUAUCUGGUGGAGUAGUGGAUUUGUAGUUUUUAUUAAAUGUUUAUUUAGUAUGGUUAAAGUCUAGGAUUCUUGAUGUCAGAUCAAGGUGCAGCUUAUGAUUAGGGAGAGAUGGGUUACAAUGGUUAUUUACCAUACGGAUUUUUACUUGUAAUUAGUGAAUUGAAGGUGGACUCGGGAGUAAUAGGUUAAAUAAUGAGUUUUUAUGAAAUAUGGUGCUGAGGUGCGU